GGGUGAUAUACUGUGCUUCUCGUCGAGUAGUUGUGAGAACGUUAUUGUGGUUUGUUCGCAAAGCUUAGUUAGAGCUACAAGUUUAAAGGAUUUGUUCUUUGACGUCGGUGAUUUGGUCAACUCAAAAAAAGGUGGGACGUGUAUGUAAAGGAACAAAGUAGUCUGCAAUUUGGAAGUAAUGGAUUCUUUUGCAAUGAUAUCCAAUCAAGCAAUAUAUUGGACUUACAUCAAUUGACAUGAUAAAUAAUAAAACCAGAAAUAUUUCAUUGAAUGGGAAUGUCCUUAGAACACUCAAGACUAAACAAGUGGUCACUACUGGAGAUUUAAAAAAGAAGUCUCUGUCUUCCCAACAUUGUUUAGCAUUUAGUGGAUUAUCAAAUAUUCCAUCAGGCAUCAAACAGUCUACUGGUAUCCAGGAUAUUAAGUCUUCCCAGCAGCAUUUAAAACAGUGUUCAAUUCCACGACCUACUUGUCAGAAUGGAAAUUUGUUUAAAACUGAAAGAAGUGUAGCUGACAGAAGUAGUAGCAGCAUAAAAAAUAUUCCUUUGCAGAAGCAUCCCAACACAUCAGAACAAAUAAAUAUAAGGAAAAGUAAAAGUAGAGUAUCUAAUGCUUCUUGUUUAAUGUCUGGAUCUGUACGACGAGGGCAGUUCAAAACGGACCGAACUGUUGUAUCCACUACCAAACAAAAACCUUCUAAACUAUUAGUAAAUAGAGCUGUAAGGGAAUUGCCUUCUCUGGAUGAAACUCAAGAAUUGAAUUUUUCAAGAACUCCAUCUUUUAAGCCUAGUCAAAAAUUUAGAAUGGCGGGUACACAGCAUCAGACAGUAAAAUCAAAGUCUGCAGAAACUAAGGCCCUUCCAGAAAAUCCUAGUGCCAGUGAUUUACAACAAGAGGGAACUGAUAAGAAAGAGGAUUCAUUUAAUGAAAAUAAACCUUUAAGUAAAACAAUUAGUCAAACCCUUAUUUCACGAUUUUCAUUUACUAAAACAGUAAAUAGAAAGCUUAGUGUAGAAGAGUUUUUACCCCAAAGUAAAACAGCUUUGUCAACUGAGUCACCCUCUGAAAUUCAAGCUAUUUCCUAUGGGAGUACUAUCUGUGAUAAGUCUGAAAAUAUAAAUAGAAAUAGUACAGUCAAUGGUGUGAAAAAUGCUGUGUUAUAUUCUAAUUUUGAUAAAACAGACCUUAAAGAAAGGACAGACCAAACAAAUGGUGUAACGAAUACAGAGGAAGAUUACACUAAGUGUGAAUUAGAUAGUUCUCUUGCUAUAAAUGCCACUCUAUCCUCGGUUACAGAUUCAGUAACUGAUCUCAGAGGUGAUGCAGUAGCUGUUAAGAAGAAAGUUGGUCAGGUUGACACUGAUGCAAACAAAACAGAUGAGAAUACUUCUGAGUUGCGUUCUGAAGAAGAUGAAGCAGUGAAAGCAAGGGAUACAUCCUCUGAUGGGCGUUUUCUUAAAUUUGAAGAGGAGAUUGGACGUGGAUCGUUCAAAACAGUAUAUAAGGGAUUAGAUACAGCCACAGGAGUUGCUGUUGCCUGGUGUGAACUUCAAGAGCGCCUAAACAAAAGUGAGCGACAGAGGUUUCGAGAAGAAGCUGAGAUGCUAAAAGGACUGCAACAUCCCAAUAUUGUUCGUUUUUAUGAUUACUGGGAAGUUAAUCUGCCUAAGAAAAAAUACUUAGUGUUAAUUACAGAACUAAUGACGUCGGGAACGCUGAAAACGUAUUUACGUCGAUUUAAGAAGAUCAACUUGAAAGUCUUGAAGUCGUGGUGUAAACAGAUCUUAAAAGGGCUGAGUUUUCUUCAUUCUCGUUCUCCUCCCAUUAUCCAUCGUGAUCUCAAAUGUGAUAACAUUUUUAUUACGGGAACUACUGGAUCGGUGAAAAUUGGAGACCUGGGACUGGCUACGCUGAAAAACAGAUCAUUUGCCAAGAGUGUCAUAGGGUAUUCCACCUCAGAGUUUUGGAAAGAUUGAAAAUCUAGAACUGAAAGAAAUCAUUGGUUGCUGCACACGACUUUCGAGAGAAGAAAGGCCUACUGUAAAGGAAAUGCUCCAGUUGGACUUCUUCCAGGAGGAUCUAGGUGUGAAGGUCGAAUUUGUGAACCGCGAGAAAAACGUCACAAGCAAUGAUCCCAAAGUUGAACUACUGUUAAGA
rnacentral:misc_RNA from 1 species